rnacentral:misc_RNA from 1 species
AACAGGUGCUAUAUUUCACAAGCAAAAUGAGUUUUUUACAUGCAGUAACACACGCUGAUAACAUAUUAAUAUAGUAAAUUAACUAUACCGAUAACUCGAGUUCGACCAUGAGGUGAGAAGGGCCAUAUUUAGAAGGAUAUGAGUCGAUCCGGGAGAGAGGGAGUAUUGGGAAGGCAUGGUUCAAAGGAUUCUUCUUUUGUUUAUUCUGGUCGAAACUCUAUUCCUUGAACGAUAAGGCCACCUUUCGCAGAGAGACGCCUAACUUCCAUUAAUCUCGCUUCAACAUCUCCAUCCUCUCCCGCGUCAUUGAAAAAUUUUCCCAUUUCUAUUUCCAGCCAUCCAUUGUCUCUUCUCUUGGAUCGAUUCUCACCAUGUUCUUCUUGUGUUGAAAGACUAACAACACUAGCUCGUUCCUCAGCUUCAUUGUCACUCUCACGAUCAACAAAUCUAACGAAUGUAUUAGCAGUUUCAAGGCCAUAGUAUCCGCUUUUCAGUUUGAACACUAGAUAAGCAACAUAGUUGGUUCUUUUUGACAGUAGUCGAGUUUCAAUCUUCCCUCGCAUAUCAAGCCAACAAACAAACCGAAGAUUAGCCACUUCCGAAAAUCUGGAGUCGGGGUGAGAUGACCAUGACCAAUAAUGUGGUGUAUCGCUCCACGAAAUAGCAAGUUCCCUCGCUGAUACCAUAAAACAUUUCUUCCCGGUCUUCUUGUCCAAUGAAAAACUCAUUUUGCCUCCAUCAGUGAGAAUUGGAGAAUCACAGAGACUAAAGUAGAGCUGUUUCAUGGAAGGAGAAGCCAUUAACGAUUUUGAUUUAGAAAUUAUAUUUUGAUAAUCCGACGGCAAAAAUUUCUCCCAAACGACGUCGGAUUCAGCAGCGAAAUUGAAGCCUCGAGAGCUCGUCGAUAACCUAGCAGUAUCCUCCGGCGAAGUGAACGAUAAAAUUUCCGAUAAGCAAUCUUCCGGCAUCAACCCAAAAUAAUCCAUCGGAAAUUAAUUUUAACAAAAAUUAAAAUUAUCAACCGAUUAAAG